GCACGGGUGAGUAUCGCGUUUGCAACCUACCCUUAACUGGGGAAUAGCCCGAAGAAAUUCGGAUUAAUACCCCAUAAUAUUUAAGAAUGGCAUCGUUUUUUUAUUAAAGCUUUGGCGGUUAAGGAUGGGCAUGCGUGACAUUAGUUUGUUGGUGAGGUAACGGCUCACCAAGACUACGAUGUCUAGGGGGUCUGAGAGGAUGAUCCCCCACACUGGUACUGAGACACGGACCAGACUCCUACGGGAGGCAGCAGUGAGGAAUAUUGGGCAAUGGACGCAAGUCUGACCCAGCCAUGCCGCGUGCAGGAUGACGGCGCUAUGCGUUGUAAACUGCUUUUAUACAGGAAGAAAUCCUCCUACGUGUAGGGGGUUGACUGUACUGUAAGAAUAAACAUCGGCUAACUCCGUGCCACCAGCCGCGGUAAUACCGAGGAUGCAGCGUUAUCCGGAUUCUUUGGGGUUUAAAGGGUGCGCAGGCGGGGGCAAUAAGUCAGUGGUGAAAUCCCGCAGCU
rnacentral:rRNA from 1 species